GAAGGGUUAAAAUUACAUUUGAGUAUAUGUUGCACACAUAUGUUGCACUAUAGAAUGAAUGCAAGGGAAAAACAAUACAAUUUUUUUUCUUUCAAAUUUCUCAAUACAAAUCAUUCUAAAAAGAAUUGGAGAUAUGCUUUCUCAAUACAAAUUCUCAUGGUUAUUCAUACAAAGUACAACAAACAGGCUGAGGUACAACCUAAACUUUCAUCAAAUCAAACAAACUCGUAUUUCCGAUACCAAACAAAAGAUACAUGGUGUGUAGUCAAGCUUUCUAGAGAAAAGCUAACCCACAAAUUGUUACAGAAAAAGAUAGCGUGGUCUGCAAAUGGCAAUGACAUUUGA